rnacentral:rRNA from 1 species
AAUCAGCAUCGGCUAACUUCGUGCCAGCAGCCGCGGUAAUACGAGGGAUGCAAGCGUUAUCCGGAAUUAUUGGGCGUAAAGCGUCCGCAGGUGGCUCUGUAAGUCUGUCGUUAAAGAAUGGGGCUCAACCCCAUACAGGCGAUGGAAACUACAAGGCUAGAGUUUGGUAGGGGUCACGGGAAUUCUUAGUGUAGCGGUGAAAUGCGUAGAUAUUAAGAAGAACACCAGCGGCGAAAGCGCGUGACUGGGCCAGUACUGACACUCAUGGACGAAAGCUAGGGGAGCGAAAGGGAUUAGAUACCCCUGUAGUCCUAGCCGUAAACGAUGAUAACUAGGUGUUGCCCGUAUCGACCCGGGCAGUGCCGUAGCCAACGCGUUAAGUUAUCCGCCU